UUGAACAUUUCAGUGUGUUAUAUGGGCAGGAAUUUGUGUGUUACAAUGUGCAUGGAUUAGUGUACCUCUCUGAGGAUGUAAAGCAGCAUGGGAAUUUAGAUGAAUUUUCUGCUUUUCCAUUUGAAAAUUAUUUGGGCUCUCUUAAAAAGCUUGCGAGAAGAACUUGCAAUCCUUUGGCUCAAGUCAUUCAGAGACUAUCAUAAAUAUAUGCCCAGGGCAAUACAAGACAGGAGAGCAUCAAUAGCCUCAGACGUGAACACAACUGUGGCCCUGUUCCACUGAUGUUUUCAAAAUCAGUUCAUCAGUUUCAUGAGGUCAUGCUUGGUGGUUUAGUCAUCAAAACAACAGAUGGAGACAAUUGUGUGAAAAUACAGAACUGUGUUGCCAUUGUUGUGAACAUUAUUUUGAGUGAAGGAAAGACAUUUUUUGUGUACAAGGAAUAUAGACAUAGAAGCUCUUUUUUUGAUUAUCCAAUGAAUUCAUGUGAAUUAGGACCUUUUGUUAAGAGGGAACUCCCGGAAGGCUUGCACAUCUCAGAGUUUGAUGGCAAUAUUGAGAAGUAUGUUAGGUUGCCUCUCCGAGACGGUUUUGUUGUUUUACCAUUACUACACACUGCACAGACUGCAGAAGAUUAAAUGUGGAGUACGCGGCGAUAAACCGGUAGAAACCCUGAUGUUGGUGCAGUGGAGUUUGGAGGACAUUUUCAAGAAAAAGUAAGCAUGUUUCAUAAUUGUUUCAUUUGUGGAGACUAAUGCGGUGGAAGUGGUGCCUAGUAGCUGGGUACAUGAUGAGCAGUGCGUCUGGCCAAAUCUGAAAGUAGAGAGCCUCACGAAGGCAGUGAAACUGGCAAUGAAACCCAGAAAAGACUGGAAAAAAUUUAGAGUUAAGCUUCCCUACA